CAGGUGUUGGACCACUGCCCAGCAAUUCCAGGAAGUAAUAUCCGUUAGAAGAAUGUGGUAAGCCCUUGGAAGUCUCACUUUACAGGUGAAGAAACCAUGGUCAGAGGAGGGUUAAGGGAUUUACUCACAUUCCAGCACAUGGUUGGCCAAGAUCUGAGCUGAGACUUGAACCAAGACCUUCUGACUCAAAGUCUUCUUCUCUUUUAUGAUGCCCAGUUUGUAACUUCACGGAACCAUACAUCUUUAUAUGGUUUAUCCUUGAUAAGAGAUCAAGAUCUCUCUGCAAUGAAUUUGGUGUGACAAGGUGAACAAGUUCUGAUCCAGCCUAUUGCAUUGAAGAAGAUUUCAUUGAAGUCUGAAGACAAAUUGUAUAAUUGGCUUCCAAGGACCUAUCUAGCUGGAGAGCAGCAUGCUUUAUGUCAUGGUCUGAGCAACACACACAUUUCAUUUACUUCAUUUAUUCAAGGUGGAUGAUUA